CUGUGCACUGUAAAGUCAGGGAGGGAAAUGAGUAAGCGAGACCGGAGGCCAGCAAAACCACUGAAAGGGUGGCCACAGAGCCGCACGCGCUGUCUCUCGGCAGCCCCACCCCUGUCCGGCGGAGGAGGGCCGGGUUAGGAGCUGCCCCGCUGGCCUGGGACGCUGAUCCCAGGACGGGUUAGGAGGAGCUUCUCAUUGCUCCACAGAGCCACCACUAAUUGAGUGGGUUUGGAUCCAAGUUCUGGAAUAUUGGGUUGCUGGACAAGUUUACAUUUCUAAGAUGGAUCAAUGGAUACAGAAAACUGUGAUAUCUACACAGUGGAAUAUUAAUUCAUCCACAAAGAAGACAUUUGCAUAAAAAUGAGUUGAACUGGUGAUUACCACACUAACAAAAUGAACUUGUAGAACUGUCAGCUAUACCUACACCAUGCCUGCCUGGAUGUUGCCAUGCUCCCACCUUGAUGAAACAAUGGAGUGAACCUCUGAACCUAAAGGAGCAUGCUAUCCUCUGAGAGGCUCCACCCAGCAGCUGAUGCAGACAGAUGCAGAUACCCACAGCUAAACAGUGGAUGGAACUUGGUGACUCUUAUGGAAGACUAGGAGGAAGGAUUGUGGGCCCUGAAGGGGAUAGGAACUCCACAGGAAAACCAACAGAGUCAACUAACCAGGGCCCUUGGGGCUCUCAGAGGCUGACCUACCAACCAAAGAACAUAUAUGGGCUGAACCUAGACCUCCCUGAACAUAUGUAGCAGAUAUACAGCUUGGCCUUCAUGAGGAAGGAAUGUAUGCAAAAGGAAAACAUUAUCUGAGAAUCCUGGAAGCCAGAUGAAGGAAGUCUAAGUUUCUGCUUUACGAAGCCUCCACCCCAUCAGUCUCCUCUUUGUCUCUAAGUGGAUGCACCUUCAUCUAUCCAGCCACUUCAGCAUCACCCCUCUAGCAUCCACCUUCUCUGGGGCAUCAAGUCGCCAAAGGACCAAAUGGCUCCCCUCCUACCGAUGCCAGGUAAGGCAGUCCUCUGCUACAUAUGUAGUGGGAGCCAUUAACCUGCCUAUAUAUACUAUACUCUUUGGUGGUUUAGUUGGGAGCUCAGAGGGGUCUGAUUAGUUGACACUGUUCUUCCUACUGUAUUGCAAUCCCCUUCAGUUCCUUCAGUCAUUCCCUUAACUCUUCCACUGUGGGCUCCAGACUCAGUCUAAUGGUUGGUUGUGAAUAUCUGCAUGUUUUAGUCAGGUGCUGACUCUCAGAGGACAGCAGAACCAAGCUUCUGUCUAUAAGCACAUUUUGGCGUCAGCAAUAGUGUUGGGGUUUGGGAUCUGCAGAUAGGAUGGAUUUCAUGGUGGGGUGGUUUCUGGAUAUUUUUGUUCCUGCAUUUUCUUGAGACAGAAAAAUUCUGGGCUAAAUUUUUUGAGAUGGUUGGGUGGCUCCAUACCUCAACUGGAGGCCAUGCCUAUCUACUGGAGAUGGCCUCUUUAUGUUCUAUCUUUCUAUUAUUGGGCAUUUUGUUAAUUGUUAUCCCCACUGGGUCCUGGGAGCAUCUCCCAACCCUGGUGUCCAGGACUUUCUAGUGGUUCUUCAAGUUCCCCCUGCCCCCUGCUACUUAUUUCUACUUAUUCUCCUGAUCCUCUGGACUUCUCUUCUGUCUCUUUCCAUACCUGAUCCUGACCCCUUCCCGCACCACCCCCCUCAUGUCCAGAUAUUGGUGACUCCAGCUUGAUUCUUGGGACCUUUUGCUUGGAAAACUUUUUUUUUUUUUUUUUUUACUCUGAGGUAGUGUCUGUCUUUGUUGCUAUGUUUCUUGUAUGCAGCAAAAUAAUGGAUCCUGUUUGGAUAUCCAGUCUGUUAGCCUGUGUCUUUUUUUUUUUUUUUUUUUUUAAAUCGGGGAAUGAGUCCAUUGAUGUUGAGAGAUAUUAAAGACCAAUGAUUGCUAGUUCUUGCUAUUUUUGUUGUUGGAGGUGGUUAUUAUGUGCGUGUAGUUCUCUUCUUUUGGGUUUGUUGUAAGGUGGUGAAUUUCUUGUAUUUGCUGGGGUGUAGUUACCCUCCUUCUGUUGGUGUUUUGCUUCUACUAUCCUCUGUAGGGCUGGAUUAAUAGAAAGAUAUUGUUUAACUUUGGAUUUGUCAUGGAAUAUCUUGAUUUCUCCAUCUAUGGUGAUUGAGAGUUUUGUUGGAUAGUAACCUGAGCUGGCAUCUGUGGUCUUAGGGUCUUUAUGACAUCUGGCCAAGAUCUUCUGGCUUUUAGCAUCUCUUGAGAAGUCUGGUAUAAUCUGAUAGGUCUGCCAUUAUAUGCUACCUGGCCUUUUCCCAUUAUAGCUUUUAAUAUUUUUUCUUUGUUCUGUGCAGUUAGUGUUUUAUUUGUGACGAGAGGAUUUUCUUUUCUGGUUUAUUCUAUUUGGUGUUCUAUUUGUAUUAUUCUUAGGUUUGGUCUUUUUAUUGUCUCCCAAAUUUCCUGGUUGUUUUUGGUUAGAAACUUUCUACCCUUUGUACUUUCUUUGACUGAUGUAUUGACAUCUUCUAUGGUAUCAUCUAUGCCUUAGAUUUUCUUUCUUUUCUUUUCUUUUCUUUUCUUUUCUUUUCUUUUUUUCUUUUCUUUUCUUUCUCCCUUUCUUUCUCCCUUUCUUUCUUUCUUUCUUUCUUUCUUUCUUUCUUUCUUUCUUUCUUUCUUUCUCUCUUUCUUUCUCUCUCUCUCUCUCUCUUUCUCUCUCUCUCUCUCUCUUUCUUUCUUUCUUUCUUUCUUUCUUUUUUGUAUUCUGUUGGUGAU
rnacentral:lncRNA from 1 species